AUUGAACGCUGGCGGCAGGCCUAACACAUGCAAGUCGAGCGGAGCGGGGACGGGUGAGUAACACGUGGGUAACCUCCCAUCAGAGGGGAUAACACUUGGAAACAGGUGCUAAACCGAUACUGAUGGAUGGACCCGCGGUGCAUUAGCUAGUUGGUGAGGUAACGGCUCACCAAGGCCACGAUGCAUAGCCGACCUGGGAGAGUGAUCGGCCACAAUGCGACUGAGACACGGCCCGGACUCCGACGGGAGGGAGCAGUAGGGAGUCGUCGGGAAUGGAGGAAAGUCUGACCGAGCAACGCCGCGUGAGUGAAGAAGGUUUUCGGAUCGUAAAACUCUGUUGUUAGAGAAGCGGUAUCUAACCAGAAAGCCACGGGAAACUACGUGCCAGCAGACGCGGUAAUAC
rnacentral:rRNA from 1 species